UAAGUAAGCGGAGGAAAAGAAACUAAAUAGGAUUCCCUUAGUAAUGGCGAAUGAACUGGGAUGAGCUCACCAUGGAAAUCGGGGUCCUCGACCUUGAAUUGUAGUCUUGAGAUGCACUGCCAACAAAGGCGCAGGUGUAAGCCUCUUGGAAGAGAGCAUCGCAGAGGGUGAGAGUCCCGUCUGUCACCUGCAGUCCCUUGUGCACGGCAUGCGUUCUGAGAGUCACGUUCCUCGGGAUUGGAGCGCAAAUUGGGUGGUAAGUUUCACCUUAAGCUAAAUAUUGGUCCGAGACCGAUAGCAAACAAGUACCAUGAGGGAAAGGUGAAAAGGACUUUGAAAAGAGAGUUAAAAGUGCUUGAAAUUGCUGAAAGGGAAGCGAAUGGAACCAGUUCUGCUGGGCGAGAUUGUCGCAUGUCAAAGCUUCGUGCUGGCCGCAUGCGGUGCUUCUUGCCUUGUGUGUCAGCUGCGGUCCGAGGUUGGGGAAAACUCUGGGGACAUGGAUGCCAACCUCCGGGGGGUGAAUGUGCCUGGCAAGACCCGCCCUCGGACCGUGAGCAGUGCUCCGGCAUGUUUGCGGUGCUGACGAAAUGCUUCUAUUCGACCCG
rnacentral:rRNA from 1 species